rnacentral:rRNA from 1 species
CCUACGGGAGGCAGCAGUGAGGAAUAUUGGUCAAUGGCCGGGAGGCUGAACCAGCCAAGUCGCGUGAGGGAAGACGGCCCUACGGGUUGUAAACCUCUUUUGUCAGGGAGCAAGGUGCAGGUCGGGACCUGCUGUGAGAGUACCUGAAGAAAAAGCAUCGGCUAACUCCGUGUCAGCAGCCGCGGUAAUACGGAGGAUGCGAGCGUUAUCCGGAUUUAUUGGGUUUAAAGGGUGCGCAGGCGGAGGCACAAGUCAGCGGUAAAAUCGCGGGGCUCAACCCCGCUGCGCCGUUGAAACUGUGGCCCUUGAGUGCGCGAAGGGUCGGCGGAAUGCGUGGUGUAGCGGUGAAAUGCAUAGAUAUCACGCAGAACUCCGAUCGCGAAGGCAGCCUACCGGCGCGCAACUGACGCUCAUGCACGAAAGCGUGGGUAUCGAACAGGAUUAGAUACCCUAGUAGUC